rnacentral:tRNA from 1 species
GGGGGUGUAGCUCAGUGGUAGAGCGCGUGCUUAGCAUGCACGAGGCCCUGGGUUCGAUGCCCAGCACCUCCA